CCCCUCUCAGGGUUGCACCUGGAAAGAUUCCAGUACUCAACCAGUCACAAAUACAGGAGGGAGAGUCAAGCAGAGGCAUGCCCAUUCCAUUCCUAGCUUGGGCAGUGGCUAGUGAAUGGAAGGCAAUCUGCUACAAGU